GACUGAUGAGACCGCUGAUGGGUGUGUUUGAGAUCCUGACCUCUGUUGCCCAAGUCCUUGGAAUUUUCCAGCUCCACCUCAGGGCUUUCUGACCAGCGCCAGUUCCUGCCCCGCUCCUUGUGUUCAUCCCAACUGAAAAGUUCACCUGGGAGUCUUGGCCGUUGGAGUUUGGCUAGAGCGUCGCUCGCUGCGUGGACCGGUGGUGUACUCCAGUUCCGUGUUGAACUGGUUGUUUGGAUUGCCAAACAGGUGCAGAUAUCCGCAGCCGUUACCUUUGGGACAUUUACGUGUUAAGGACAAACCUUUAAGAAGCCACAGAUUGUGUUAAAAGAAAAUGGUAUUAGAAUAUAUGCAUGUGCUUAAAA